CAUCAUCCAGAAAGCUUUGCUCCGACUGGUCAACGGUUCCAGACACAACUUUCCCAGUACAGGAAGAGCAAGCCCCAGCCCUGCAUGAGUACGGAAGAUCAAGCCCAGCUUCUUCAGCAGCAUCAAGAAUAAACGAGUCAUCAGGACAGUUGAUUUCUUCCUCUCCCCCAGGUGUAAUGAGCUUGACUUUGUAUGUAGCCAUGGCUACAACACGGCCACCUCUGUUGGCUUUGAGGCCAAAUAUAGCCUGACCCAUGUUAGGCAUGGCUUUGAGGCUGGUCGCUGUAGGCUUGCUUCUGAUGAAUGAGGUGCUGACCAUGGCGCUUGAGAGGGUGGCCAUUGUUGUUGCUCUUGCUCAAGGAAGGGACAGUUGAGUUUUUGGUUUUGAGUAUGACAAGAUAAAGUGUGCUGGUGAAGAGCUUGUGUUGAUAAUGAGCCAACGGGUGGCUGGUAAAGAGAGAUGAGAUUAUGUGGCAGGGAACUCUAUCUGCCACGUAGCAGAAUGUUGUGGCUUAGACUGUGGUUCUAUUUCAAAACAAGAUUCUUCGUUGCAACAUUCGGAUUCGAAAUAGAGAUAUUAAAUUUUUUUAUCCUAAAUUUCAUUCUAAAUAAUAUAUUAUUUAUUGAUUAAUUAAUAAUUCUUUAUAAAAUUAAAGUGAUGUAUUAUCCUCACCAAUCAACUAAUAAAUACUAUAUUAUUUAAGAUAAUCUUUUAAGAUAAAAAAUUUAAAAUGUGUAACAUUAUUUAUUGGAUUCAUAUACUACAAGGUCAAUAUUAUCCUCGUGGAACCAUGAUUUUCAUAAGAAAUGCAUAAUUUGAAAAAGUCAUGACAUAAAAAUUAUAAAAUAAAAGGGGCCAAAAUAUAAAAUUUUAAGAAAAUUUUCAAUUUCAAUUCGGUUUGAGGGGCGGCGGUUCUUAAUUAUUUUUGUUAAGAAAAAGUACGCCUGCUCUCCUAAUUUUAGGAAAUAAUUAUGUAAAUCCUUAAAUUUUUAGUAGGGGACAUCAUAUUUUUCUUUUAACUGUAAUACCCCUUAUAAAUAAUAACUAAAAAUUUGACCUUAAAUUUUUUUAAUAAAUACAAAUAUAAUUUAAAUAGUUUAAUUUGUCUAGUAGACAAAAAAUAUAAGAAUAUUUUUAAUAAUAUAAAAUAAUUUUUAAAAUGUAAAUCAUCAAAUUUAUUUUAAUAAUAUUUGUAAUUUAGUAUAAAAAUUUAAAUAAAAAUUUGAGUUAAAUAGAUUUUAAAUGUAUUAAUAAUAUUAAAAUUAUUUUAUAUAAUGUUUAAAAAUAAUUUAAAUUUUUAUAUAUUUAUUUUAAUAUCAGGUAUUCAAUUAUAUAAAAUUUAAUUUAAUAUAAAAUAAGAUUGCAAAGUACUAAAAUAUUUUUUAAAUAUUGAAAUUAUUUUAAAAUAUAUGUAUUGUUACAUAUAUUUUUAUAUUAUAUUUCUUUUAUUAAAAAAAUUAUAGUCAAUUUUUUGGGUUAAUAGAGUGAAAGUGUAUUAUAGUUGAAAGAGGGUCUUAGUGUCUCUUAUUGAAAAUUUGAGAUUUAUAUGACUAUUUUUCCAAACUUUAAGAUUAUAAUUGUCUUUGUCUCUUGUUGUUAUUUUUAUUUUGUUUGAGAAAUCCUAUUGUUAUUUAAUCUAAUAGUAACCCAAUCUCUUUCCCACUCAUCUUUUUAAAAAACAAAAAGGGAAAAAAAUCAUCCUUUUUAUUAAAUGGCAUUUCACAUUAAGAGCAUUAAAAUGGAGAUAACAUGAGAUUAAAUUUUGGCAAGGUAGUUCUACAUUAAAAAAAAAAAAAAAGUAUUUCCAAAUUAGUAAUUAGCUUAUGUUAUAUAUAUGUCAGUUUGAGUUGAUGAUACAUCAUCACUUGGAAGGUAAGUUAAACUUGUUAGUUUAUGGACAGCACUGGUUGUUAAGCUUCAUUUAGAACCAAUCCUGAUCCGAUUCGGAGAUGACUAUGGCUUCCGGGCCUGCUCAAUAACAAUCUGCUGAAUGCUAUCCAUCAAGUUGAAAGCUUGAGACUCACAUACACAAGCUUCCUUGGGUGUUGGUGUGCCCACUAAUUCCUGUGUUGUAAUUUUAGAUGGUGAGGUUGAGUGCGAUGAACCACUUCGAUUAGAUAAGAGGGUCUAAUUGUGUAAGUUGAUUCUGGUACCAACUGGGCAGUGCAAUGCUACUGAAACUAUGCUUAAAAACUGGAUUCACAUAUUGCACAUAACUCCAUAAAUGCUUCAACUUCAUGGAGUGAACAAGUGACCCGCAAGAUUAGAUUAUUGGCUUGUUUACAUAAGAGAAGCUACAACAACCUCACUAUAUAUUACUAGAUGAAAAUACCACAUUCAUAUCCUUGGAAGAAGAAGCACAGGCACCUAGCUUUGAAGAGUUGUAAUAAAAGCACUUUUUAACUCAAGCUCAAGCACUUUCUUACAACAUUUACUUACAAGAAUCCGCUUUUAUAAAUUUUAUUUAAUGCGUAUUUGGUAUAACUUAUUUAAUAAUCAUAAAGAUUUAUUUAACCUCAUAAGUUCUUUUUAAAUUUUUUAUUAUCGUUUGGUUAUUUUUUAAGUAGAACUUUUGAAUAUUAAAUAAAUUAAUUUACCUCUAUUAUCAAAAAUUUAAAUUUUGAACUUUUAAGUGUGGAGGUAGAAAAAACUUUUCUAAAAUGUUAAAACAUUUAAAAUAUUAUUUAUUUGUUUCAAAAUCUUAUUUAAUUCCUUUCAUAACAUAAUUUUAAAAAAUUUAACUAUUAAAAUAAUUUUAUAAUUCUCAAUAAAAACUCUAGAAUUAAAUUUUUUUGAUAAAAACUCUAUUUAUAAAAGUUGUACUAAUUAAAAUUCGGAUUAAAUAAACUUUAUUUAAAACAUUAUACCAAAUACAACGUUAUUAUAAAUGAGUGUGGAGGUAGAAAAAACUUUUCUAAAAUGUUAAAACAUUUAAAAUAUUAUUUACUUGUUUCAAAAUCUUAUUUAAUUCCUUUCAUAACACAAUUUUAAAAAAUUUAACUAUUAAAAUAAUUUUAUAAUUCUCAAUAAAAACUCUCGAAUUUAAUUUUUUUGAUAAAAACUCUAUUUAUAAAAGUUGUACUAAUUAAAAUUCGGUUAAAUAAAAUUUAUUUAAAAAAUUUAUACCAAAUACAGCGUUAUUAUAAAUGCUUCACUUUAAAAAAAAAAAAAAACUCAACUGCAUUGUGCCGUGUUUAAUAUUAUUUCAUCAGGUAAAAUUGAUGCAAGAAGUUUGGGUUAAAAUACUUUUUAUGAUAUAUUUCAGGAGAGAUUAGGGUUAUAUUCCGAUAAACUUAACAAAUAAAUAAACCUACAAAACAAGAGAGAAAGAGAGUAUAGAAGAGAUGAUUCUAUCUUUAUUAUUGUAAAGCUACAACAACUUCAUUUGUGACAGCAAAUGGAAGUACAGAGCAAAAUCCCCCUUUUCAUAUUACUCAUUCAAGAAAGCACGUCAAUAUUUCAACAUUCCCCUUACAAGGCACUAAAUUACCAAACCAGACACAAUAUUAAUAAUAAUAAUAUAAAGAUUCUCCAUGUUAUAUUAAAGCGCCGCAUAAUUAAGACAUUUCUUCAUCCUUGUGUGUCUCAACAGUAACAUCACUUGUAGGAUAAGCAACACAAGUGAGAACAUAACCUGCAUCUAUUUGAUCAUCCUCAAGAAAGCUUCCAUCUGACUGGUCAACACUACCUGAGACAACUUUCCCAGCACAAGUAGAGCAAGAACCAGCCCUGCAUGAAUAUGGGAGAUCAAUUCCAGCAUCUUCAGCUGCAUCAAGAAUAUAUGUGUCAUCAGGACACUCAAUUUCUUGCUCUCCCUCGGGUGUAAUGAGCUUGACUUUGUAUGUAGCCAUGGCUAUUACACGUCCACCUCUGUUGUUGUUGGCUUUAAGGCCAAACAAAGCCUGACCCAUGUUGGGCAUGGCCUUGAGGCUUGUCACUGUUGGCUUGUUUCUGACGAAUGAGGUGCUGACCAUGGCGCUUGAGAGCGCGGCCAUUGUUAUUUUUUGUUGCUUUCUGAGUGUCUGAAUGUGAAGCUAGAGAGAGUUUUGGUGACCGGUGCGAAGGGUUGUGUUGAUAAUUGGGUGGCUUGUGGAGAUGGUGUGGCCAGC
rnacentral:lncRNA from 1 species